rfam:Oryza rufipogon genomic scaffold, chr02
AAAAGGAUAAAUCUUUGGUUUCCGUGUCCAACGUUUAACUGUCAGUCUUAUAUGAAAUUUUAUAUGAAAAUAAUUAGUAUUUUCAUUGUUGUUAGAUGAUAAAACAUAAUUAAUACUUUAUGCGUGACUUAUCUUUUUAAUUUUUUUUAUAAUUUUUUUUAAAUAAGACAUACGGUUAAAUGUUGUAUACGGAAACCCAGGUUUUGAUUAAUA